GACGAACGCUGGCGGCGUGCUUAACACAUGCAAGUCGAGCGAUGAAGCUCCUUCGGGAGUGGAUUAGCGGCGGACAGGUGAGUAACACGUGGGUAACCUGCCUCAUAGAGGGGAAUAGCCUUCCGAAAGGAAGAUUAAUACCGCAUAAGAUUGUAGUACCGCAUGGUAUAGCAAUUAAAGGAGUAAUCCGCUAUGAGAUGGACCCGCGUCGCAUUAGCUAGUUGGUGAGGUAACGGCUCACCAAGGCGAAGAUGCGUAGCCGACCUGAGAGGGUGAUCGGCCACAUUGGGACUGAGACACGGCCCAGACUCCUACGGGAGGCAGCAGUGGGGAAUAUUGCACAAUGGGGGAAACCCUGAUGCAGCAACGCCGCGUGAGUGAUGACGGUCUUCGGAUUGUAAAGCUCUGUCUUCAGGGACGAUAAUGACGGUACCUGAGGAGGAAGCCACGGCUAACUACGUGCCAGCAGCCGCCGUAA
rnacentral:rRNA from 1 species